rnacentral:rRNA from 1 species
GACGAACGCUGGCGGCGUGCCUAAUACAUGCAAGUCGAGCGGAGCUUAUCCUUCGGGGUAAGCUUAGCGGCGGACGGGUGAGUAACACGUAGGCAACCUGCCCCUUAGCCUGGGAUAACUACCGGAAACGGUAGCUAAUACCGAAUAAUAUCUUUUUCCUCCUGAAGAGAGGAUGAACGGCGGCGAAAUCUGCCAUUAAGGCAUGGGCCUGCGGCGCAUGAGCUAGUUGGUGGGGUAACGGCUCACCAAGGCGACGCUGCGUAGCCGUCCUGGGGGGGUGACCGCCGACACUGGGACUGAGACACGGCCCAGACUCCUACGGGAGGCAGCAGUAGGGAACCUUCCGCAAUGUGCGAAAGCCUGACUGUGCAACGCCGCGUGAGUGAUGAAGGUUUUCGGAUCGUAAAGCUCUGUCGCCAGGAAAGAACGUCCGGUAGAGUAACUGCUACCGGAGUGACGUUACCUGAGAAGAAAGCCCCGGCUAACUACGUGCCAGCAGCCGCAGUAA